AAUCCAAUUAAAUUUUAAAAUAAAUUAUAAAAGAAAUACAAAGAAAUCCAAAAGAAAUCAAAAAAUAAUAAUAAAGAAAUACUAAAGAAAUUCUAAAGAAAUCCAUAGAAACUUUUAAAAAAUACUAAAGAAAUAUAAAAGAAAUCUAUAAGAAUCUUAAAUAAAUUCUUAUAAAAUUUUUAAGUUAUUUUUUAAAAAUCUAAAGAAAUCCUAAAG
rnacentral:lncRNA from 1 species